AGAGACAGCAGCCGCCGCGGUAAUACGAAGGGUGCAAGCGUUAAUCGGAAUUACUGGGCGUAAAGCGUGCGUAGGCGGUGAGUUAAGUCUGCUGUGAAAUCCCCGGGCUCAACCUGGGAAUGGCAGUGGAUACUGGCUCGCUAGAGUGUGUCAGAGGAUGGUGGAAUUCCCGGUGUAGCGGUGAAAUGCGUAUAGAUCGGGAGGAACAUCAGUGGCGAAGGCGGCCAUCUGGGACAACACUGACGCUGAGGCACGAAGGCGUGGGGAGCAAACAGGAUUAGAUACCCCCGUAGUCCUGUCUCUUAUACA
rnacentral:rRNA from 1 species